rnacentral:rRNA from 1 species
GCCCCGGUAAACGGCGGCCGUAACUAUAACGGUCCUAAGGUAGCGAAAUUCCUUGUCGGGUAAGUUCCGACCUGCACGAAUGGCGUAAUGAUGGCCAGGCUGUCUCCACCCGAGACUCAGUGAAAUUGAACUCGCUGUGAAGAUGCAGUGUACCCGCGGCAAGACGGAAAGACCCCGUGAACCUUUACUAUAGCUUGACACUGAACAUUGAGCCUUGAUGUGUAGGAUAGGUGGGAGGCUUUGAAGUGUGGACGCCAGUCUGCAUGGAGCCGACCUUGAAAUACCACCCUUUAAUGUUUGAUGUUCUAACGUGGGCCCGUAAUCCGGGUUGCGGACAGUGUCUGGUGGGUAGUUUGACUGGGGCGGUCUCCUCCUAAAGAGUAACGGAGGAGCACGAAGGUUGGCUAAUCCUGGUCGGACAUCAGGAGGUUAGUGCAAUGGCAUAAGCCAGCUUGACUGCGAGCGUGACGGCGCGAGCAGGUGCGAAAGCAGGUCAUAGUGAUCCGGUGGUUCUGAAUGGAAGGGCCAUCGCUCAACGGAUAAAAGGUACUCCGGGGAUAACAGGCUGAUACCGCCCAAGAGUUCAUAUCGACGGCGGUGUUUGGCACCUCGAUGUCGGCUCAUCACAUCCUGGGGCUGAAGUAGGUCCCAAGGGUAUGGCUGUUCGCCAUUUAAAGUGGUACGCGAGCUGGGUUUAGAACGUCGUGAGACAGUUCGGUCCCUAUCUGCCGUGGGCGCUGGAGAACUGAGGGGGGCUGCUCCUAGUACGAGAGGACCGGAGUGGACGCAUCACUGGUGUUCGGGUUGUCAUGCCAAUGGCACUGCCCGGUAGCUAAAUGCGGAAGAGAUAAGUGCUGAAAGCAUCUAAGCACGAAACUUGCCCCGAGAUGAGU